rnacentral:rRNA from 1 species
GGUGGAUGCCUUGGCAACUAGAGGCGAUGAAAGACGUUGUAGCCUGCGAUAAGCUACGGUGAGGUGGCAAACAACCUUUGACCCGUAGAUUUCUGAAUGGGGAAACCCACUUCUUCGGAAGUAUCUUGCACUGAAUACAUAGGUGACAAGAGGCAAACCUAGGGAACUGAAACAUCUAAGUACCUAGAGGAAAAGAAAUCAAAUGAGAUUCCCUUAGUAGCGGCGAGCGAAAGGGGAGCAGCCCUUAAGCUGUUUUGUAAGUAGGAGAAGGCUCUGGAAAGUGCCGCCAUAGUGGGUGAUAGCCCCGUAUCUAAAACUUUAUAAACAGUGAAAUCGAGUAGGUCGGGACACGUGAUAUCUUGACUGAAUAUGGGGGGACCAUCCUCCAAGGCUAAAUACUCCUAGUUGACCGAUAGUGAACCAGUACCGUGAGGGAAAGGCGAAAAGAACCCCUGUGAGGGGAGUGAAAUAGAACCUGAAACCGUGUACGUACAAGCAGUAGGAGCAGACUUGUUCUGUGACUGCGUACCUUUUGUAUAAUGGGUCAGCGACUUAUAUUCAGUAGCAAGGUUAACCGUUUAGGGGAGCCGUAGGGAAACCGAGUCUUAAUAGGGCGUUCAGUUGCUGGGUAUAGACCCGAAACCCGGCGAUCUAUCCAUGAGCAGGUUGAAGAUUGAGUAACAUCAAUUGGAGGACCGAACCCACUGUCUUUGAAAAGCCAGGGGAUGACUUGUGGAUCGGAGUGAAAGGCUAAUCAAGCCGGGAGAUAGCUGGUUCUCCUCGAAAUCUAUUUAGGUAGAGCGUCACGUAUUACCCACGGGGGUAGAGCACUGUUAAGGCUAGGGGGUCAUCCCGACUUACCAACCCUUUGCAAACUCCGAAUACCGUGGAGUACAGCGUGGCAGACACACUGCGGGUGCUAACGUCCGUAGUGAAAAGGGAAACAACCCAGACCGUCAGCUAAGGUCCCAAAGUUACAGUUAAGUGGGAAACGAUGUGGGAAGGCCCAGACAGCUAGGAGGUUGGCUUAGAAGCAGCCACCCUUUAAAGAAAGCGUAAUAGCUCACUAGUCGAGUCGGCCUGCGCGGAAGAUGUAACGGGGCUCAAACUGGUCACCGAAGCUG